UACAGAGGGUGCGAGCGUUAAUCGGAAUUACUGGGCGUAAAGCGCGCGUAGGCGGCUUUGCAAGUCGGGUGUGAAAUCCCCGGGCUCAACCUGGGAACUGCAUUUGUGACUGCAUCGCUGGAGUACGGCAGAGGGGGGAUGGAAUUCCACGUGUAGCAGUGAAAUGCGUAGAGAUGUGGAGGAAUACCGAUGGCGAAGGCAGCCCCCCUGGGAUAACACUGACGCUCAUGCACGAAAGCGUGGGGAGCAAACAGG
rnacentral:rRNA from 1 species